rnacentral:misc_RNA from 1 species
GAUGAAGAACGUAGCGAAAUGCGAUAAGUAGUGUGAAUUGCAGAAUUCAGUGAAUCAUCGAAUCUUUGAACGCACAUUGCGCCCCUCGGUAUUCCGUGGGGCAUGCCUGUUCGAGCGUCAUUUAACCCCUCAAGCCUAGCUUGGUAUUGGGUGCUUGUCCCGCCUCUCGCGCGGCGACUCACCUCAAAGUCAUUGGCAGCCCGCAUCUCGCCGGCCGUGAGCGCAGCACAGACGCGCUCUUGGCAACGACGGAUCGGCUCUCCAAAAGCUUAUUUCAACCACUGACCUCGGAUCAGGUAGGGAUACUCGCUGAACUUAAGCAUAUCAAUAAGCGGAGGA